rnacentral:rRNA from 1 species
GAUGAACGCUGGCGGCGUGCCUAAUACAUGCAAGUCGAGCGAACGGACGAGAAGCUUGCUUCUCUGAUGUUAGCGGCGGACGGGUGAGUAACACGUGGAUAACCUACCUAUAAGACUGGGAUAACUUCGGGAAACCGUAGCUAAUACCGGAUAAUAUUUUGAACCGCAUGGUUCAAAAGUGAAAGACGGUCUUGCUGUCACUUAUAGAUGGAUCCGCGCUGCAUUAGCUAGUUGGUAAGGUAACGGCUUACCAAGGCAACGAUGCAUAGCCGACCUGAGAGGGUGAUCGGCCACACUGGAACUGAGACACGGUCCAGACUCCUACGGGAGGCAGCAGUAGGGAAUCUUCCGCAAUGGGCGAAAGCCUGACGGAGCAACGCCGCGUGAGUGAUGAAGGUCUUCGGAUCGUAAAACUCUGUUAUUAGGGAAGAACAUAUGUGUAAGUUACUGUGCACAUCUUGACGGUACCUAAUCAGAAAGCCACGGCUAACUACGUG